rnacentral:rRNA from 1 species
GAUGAACGCUGGCGGCGUGCUUAACACAUGCAAGUCGAACGGAAAGGCUCCUGCUUGCAGGGGUACUCGAGUGGCGAACGGGUGAGUAACACGUGGGUGAUCUGCCCUGCACUUCGGGAUAAGCCUGGGAAACUGGGUCUAAUACCGGAUAGGACGAUGGUUUGGAUGCCAUUGUGGAAAGUUUUUCGGUGUGGGAUGAGCUCGCGGCCUAUCAGCUUGUUGGUGGGGUAAUGGCCUACCAAGGCGUCGACGGGUAGCCGGCCUGAGAGGGUGUACGGCCACAUUGGGACUGAGAUACGGCCCAGACUCCUACGGGAGGCAGCAGUGGGGUAUAUUGCACAAUGGGCGCAAGCCUGAUGCAGCGACGCCGCGUGGGGGAUGACGGCCUUCGGGUUGUAAACUCCUUUCGCUAGGGACGAAGCGCAAGUGACGGUACCUGGAGAAGAAGCACCGGCUAACUACGUG